CGCGUAGGCGGUUUGUUUAGUUAGGCGUGAAAUUCCUGGGCUUAACCUGGGGACUGCGCUUAAUACAGGCAGACUUGAGUUCGGAAGGGGGUCGUGGAAUUCCCAGUGUAGAGGUGAAAUUCGUAGAUAUUGGGAAGAACACCGGUGGCGAAGGCGGCGACCUGGUCCGAUACUGACGCUGAGGCGCGAAAGCGUGGGGAGCAAACA
rnacentral:rRNA from 1 species